rnacentral:rRNA from 1 species
ACGCUCGACACCUACGGGAGGCGGCAGUGGGGAAUAUUGCACAAUGGGGGAAACCCUGAUGCAGCGACGCCGCGUGAGCGAAGAAGUAUUUCGGUAUGUAAAGCUCUAUCAGCAGGGAAGAAAAUGACGGUACCUGACUAAGAAGCCCCGGCUAACUACGUGCUAGCAGCCGCGGUAAUCUGAGCGGGCUGGCAAGGC